rnacentral:rRNA from 1 species
ACACAUGCUACAAUGGUUGGUACAACGAGUUGCGAGUCGGUGACGGCGAGCUAAUCUCUUAAAGCCAAUCUCAGUUCGGAUUGUAGGCUGCAACUCGCCUACAUGAAGUCGGAAUCGCUAGUAAUCGCGGAUCAGCACGCCGCGGUGAAUACGUUCCCGGGCCUU